rnacentral:lncRNA from 1 species
GCUUAAAUGAGAUAACAUAGAGCUUAAUACAGCACCUGGCACUUGGUAGGUGCUCAAUAAAUGCUGAUUGUGCCUCUUGCCUGCUUCAUGACUUUGAUCAGCCUCUGUCUUGCAGUCUACCCAUCUGUCUGUCAUCCAUAAGGGCCUUCCCCUAGCUGAGUACAGAGCCUUUAAGACAGCUGGGAUUGGUUGGCAAGAAGCCAAAUGAACCCUGGGAAAGGAGCAUUCCGUUUUAGCUAGGGCCUUGCUUACCACAUACUCCCUGUGUGCUCCUGCCAGAGGACUACUGUGUGGACUUCCUGUGGCCACUGUGACUCCCACUUGGCUCUUCUCAGAGCCCUUAGCAGCCCCUGUAGUCACAUCACUAUUUGGUGAGCUAGCAGCAUCUGCUUCUCCCCACUGGAAUGCAAGUGCCUCAGGAGCUGUGUCACCAGUGUUCCAGUGCCUGGCACCCGGGGCACGCAGACGUGUGCAGAACACAUGGCCGUCUCUGUUUUUCCUUCUCUGAAGUCAGGCCUGUUCUCCCUUCCAGCACAGCCACUUUCUGGUAGUGGCAAAUCCCCUACCUCUUUCAGCUCCACUUCCCUUGUGUCUAGAACAGGAGAAAGAGCAGAACCAGACGAAUCCAAUAUUCAGCCAGGCCUGGAACUAGUAAUACUGUAAUGUCAGCUGCUGUUUUUCCAAAUGUACUCCAAGGGUCCCUCCAGUUCUGACCUUCCGUGCUCUCUCUGCCUUUGGCUGGGAGGAGACAGGGGAGAACAUUCCAUUCCGAACAGACCCUCUCUCCAGGCCUCACAAUGGAUUCGGGGCUCUGUACAAAUUGUUUAUGUUUCCCGGCAGAAUUUAUUACCCAGCCUGGCCUUCUGCAAUUAAUUACCCAGCCAAGCAAAUAACUUGUCCCAGGGAGGCUGGGCUUGGCAUAAACAUUUACAUACAGCUGGGGGCCAGCCCAGGGGCUGGGCUGUCCCAGCAGAUUUUGAAAUGGA